rnacentral:rRNA from 1 species
GUCCACGCCGUAAACGAUGAGUGCUAAGUGUUAGAGGGUUUCCGCCCUUUAGUGCUGCAGCUAACGCAUUAAGCACUCCGCCUGGGGAGUACGGCAGCAAGGCUGAAACUCAAAGGAAUUGACGGGGCCCCGCACAAGCGGUGGAGCAUGUGGUUUAAUUCGAAGCAACGCGAAGAACCUUACCAGGUCUUGACAUCCUCUGACAACCCUAGAGAUAGGGCGUUCCCAUUCGGGGGACAGAGUGACAGGUGGUGCAUGGUUGUCGU